UGACCUGUAUGCAUCAGUCUGACCAAAGCAGGGAAUGUCUUUCCGUUAAAAGAUUCUUGAAAUUUCUCUGCUAUAGAAUUGACCUUCAAUUUUAAGUAGCACUCUUGCCUGUAAAUAUCAACACCCAUGUGUUACAUGGUUCCUUCCUUUGUAGUAGCAAGUUACAAGCUGCCACAUAUCAGAUCUCUUGAUACCCACUUUGCCU
rnacentral:lncRNA from 1 species